rnacentral:rRNA from 1 species
UACGUAGGGUGCAAGCGUUGUCCGGAAUUAUUGGGCGUAAAGAGCUCGUAGGCGGUUUGUUGCGUCGGCUGUGAAAUCCCGAGGCUCAACCUCGGGUCUGCAGUCGAUACGAGCAAACUAGAGUGUUGCAGGGGAGACUGGAAUUCCUGGUGUAGCGGUGAAAUGCGCAGAUAUCAGGAGGAACACCGGUGGGCCGAAGGCGGGUCUCUGGGCCGAUACUGACGCUGGAGGAGCGAAAGCGUGGGGAGCGAACAGG